rnacentral:rRNA from 1 species
CCUACGGGAGGCAGCAGUAAGGAAUAUUGGUCAAUGGACGAAAGUCUGAACCAGCCAUGCCGCGUGAAGGAUUAAGGCCCUCUGGGUUGUAAACUUCUUUUAUCUGGGACGAAAAAAGGGUAUUCUUACUCACUUGACGGUACCAGAGGAAUAAGCACCGGCUAACUCCGUGCCAGCAGCCGCGGUAAUACGGAGGGUGCAAGCGUUAUCCGGAUUUACUGGGUUUAAAGGGUGCGUAGGUGGGCUUGUAAGUCAGUGGUGAAAUCUCCGGGCUUAACCCGGGAAACUGCCAUUGAUACUAUAGGUCUUGAAUUAUCUGGAGGUAAGCGGAAUAUGUCAUGUAGCGGUGAAAUGCUUAGAUAUGACAUAGAACACCAAUUGCGAAGGCAGCUUACUACGGAUAUAUUGACACUGAGGCACGAAAGCGUGGGGAUCAAACAGGAUUAGAUACCCUGGUAGUCCACGCCCUAAACGAUGGAUACUCGACAUCAGCGAUACACUGUUGGUGUCUGAGNGAGANAUAUAUCCACCNGGAGUACGANCGCAGAUAGAACGACGAAGAAGUAGACGCGUGAGAGUGCGACGGACGACGACGAGGGAGGAGG